rnacentral:piRNA from 1 species
UGGGCCGUGUCACAUUGCCAUCUGGGGUC